GGAUGUGAGGGCGAUCUGGCUGCGACAUCUGUCACCCCAUUGAUCACCAGGGUUGAUUCGGCUGAUCUGGCUGGCUAGGCGGGUGUCCCCUUCCUCCCUCACAGCUCCAUGUGCGCCCCUCCCGAAGCUGCGCGCUCGGUCGAAGAGGACGGCCUUCCCCGAAUAGAGACGGACCGGUCUUCGGUCGAGGGUAUACGAGUAGCUGCGCUCCCCUGCUAGAACCUCCAAACAAGCUCUCAAGAAAAUAUUCUUUAAUAUUGCAAAAAAAAAAAAAAAAUGGCAAAAGUGGCCACGAGAGGCAGUGGAUUCAUAGU
rnacentral:snRNA from 1 species